UAGGGAAUAUUGCACAAUGGGCGCAAGCCUGAUGCAGCCAUGCCGCGUGUGUGAAGAAGGCCUUGGGUUGUAAAGCACUUUCAGCGGGGAGGAAGGCGAUAAGGUUAAUAACCUUGUUGAUUGACGUUACCCGCAGAAGAAGCACCGGCUAACUCCGUGCCAG
rnacentral:rRNA from 1 species